rnacentral:lncRNA from 1 species
GGAACAUUCAGGUAUAUAAAUAAGGUAAAUGCUUUCCAACGUACAGUAUAUCAUGUUCUUACAUUGCGUGGAAAAAGAACCUACAUGUAUUGUUCAACAUGGAUCACGAGUGCACAGAGAGAGAGAUCAGCUGCAUUUAGUGAAACGCCAAGUUGGGAAAAUGGCACAGCAGUAGCGCACAGGCACACAGCUAUCUGGGGAGGCUGUGGGGACUGUCACGUGGACUCUACACACCGAGAACUGCUUCAAGGUCGCCUGUGUCUGAGUGCGGGUAAAGUGAAUAUCAACACCCAGGCUAUCAGGGUGAGACAACUGAAUUCCAUCAUGUCCAUCCACUUUACAAAGGGGUGGGAGGCACCAUGGAGAAACUGACCAGAAAUGCUCUGCCCUGUCACAGAGGAGACAGAGCCAGGGCAGACACGGCUGACCUCUGGGAGGCACAGACACUGGCAGUGAUGGGUCCCAUGGGAUGCCUGGCACUCCCAGCACAGACAGCUCCCCAAAGCAGGUGGGGAGGCCCUUUCUGUGUUUGGGAACUUUUUAGUUAAACAAAUCCUCAGAAUCGAAUUAAGAAGGAUGUCCACAGCUCGAUCAAAAAAAAAAAACCAAAAAAAAAAAAAAAACCACCAAGGUUCCCAAGAUCCUUCAACAGAGGGGCUUCCCAUCUGAUCUUACCCUCCUGUUUCAGAAGGUAUUAAACAUCAAUAAAAAUUAAAAUAUAUUAUCAGUAUCAACUCUAGAAGAUAACCCAUGGCUUCAAAUCUCCCUGGACGGGUUCUCUGAGCCCAGAUUUCUGGUCCCCAACUCGUAUGACAUCCAGGGCCAGCGAGCGUUCAGCUGGCAUCUGUUAGAGUCUGCCCUCCACUGUGAGACUCCUGGCCCCUCCGUGGCCCUGGUAUUCCUCCUGCUGCUGCCCCUAGGAGUCCUCCAGCUGGAUAACAAUAAACCAAACCGCUGUCUCCUAAUCCCUGACUUGUUCUCCUGACUCCUAGUCCUUUGGUUUCAUCGGCCCCUGAUGUCUGUUCAACUCUUCCCCUUUGUAAUCAGCCCCUAGCACCCAGUCAGCAUGACGUAAGACAGAAAAACAGUUUACUAAAGGCCAGAGCCCUGUGCACAGAGGAUUUAAAAGAAACAGCACCCAAAGGACACUCAUGAAAACAUGUAUGCACAUUCUGCCUGCUAGAAAACAUUCUCAACCUCUUUUCUACUCUGCUGUUCCUUUAAGAAAAGCCAGCAUACAAGAACCUAGCGCAGGUGUCAAAAAAAGGCAUCCAAACUGCGAGGACAGAGGUGGCUAUGUGGAUGAUUAUCGGCAAACACAGUUUCACUAGAGACAAAAUCACCAGGUGGCUAACCCUUCUGAGUGCUUUAUGCAGGCAAGGUCCUCUGGGGGCUGCAAAAGGCUAGGCCCUGCCCAAUGCCCGGGAGACCACUGCAAAGGCAUUCUCUGCUUGAUUUCCAGAGGGCCCUUACCACAACCCCCUCCCCGGCCCAGCAGUGGAGGCUUUCUAUGGAUACAAGGCUGCCUAGGUCUAUUCAACAACACAAUGAGGGAGGAAGCACCAGGCAAGGCAAACACAAACCCAGAAGGACAGGAGGGCUCGGGGGCAAGCCUGGGAUUGGCCUGUCACAGCAGCUGCUUCCUAGAAACCCCCACAACCAUCUUCUCCUGGUUCAUGGCAUUAUCAUUACUUCAGCAAUUCAAUGAAACAGAGGGACCAUUAUUUCCAUACUAUUAAUAGCAAUGUGCUGUUGGGUCCCACUAAUACCCAGGAAAUAAUCCACAGUCAAACCAGUAGUUCAGUUAUUAUUCAACUGACCUAGGAAUUUCAUGGAUCCUGUUAGCCAACACCAUUCCUUCAAAGUGAGGCAGCCUCCCCUUACACACACGUGCCCCAACUCCCCACCCCCAUUCAGAAAACUAAGUUCAAGAAACUCUUUUCAUUAAGUCCUGUGCCUGUUCUCCCUUCAUUCAUGAGUCACCCAUUUGAGUCUUUGCUAACCUAGAAUCCGGCAGAAAUACCUCACAUCAUGUGUCCUCAAUGGGUCACCCACUUCUACCCGGUUACUACUUUUAGAAGGAAACAUGAAGCUCCAGAUUGGCUGCGUCAUAAGGAUGUGGGCAGAACUUCUAGGCUUUUAGUCUACAUAAUCCCCUACAAAGCAGGUUUCUGUUGUCCCCAUUCUUCUCUUCUUGGCCCCUGAGGACAUCCACCCAUACAGGGAACUGCUGCAGGCUCCUGAGCUAUGUGCACAGAAGACAGCCCUUGGCCAGAGCGGGAAGUGGGGUCCAGAGCGAGUCACAGACAGGCCCUCCCUGCCCAGAGUGGAGGUACCACCAGACAGGAGGAGAUGGCCUUCCCACAAGCAGUCCAGACUGUGGGCAGAGGAGGUGAGCUGGAUUCUCAGGCCAGCCAUUCUCACUAAGAACAGAACUUCUGCACACCCCCAUGUCCUCUUGCCUCGUUAGGGUGGCCUCCUAAAUGGUGUGUGAAGCACCAAGAUGCUGUAGGGGAUGUUAAGGUUGGCGUGCUUCUCUCGGAGGGACCCAGACUGUGUGCAGGGUGGUGGCAGUGUGGUGGCUGACAAUCCCAUCUCUGGCAUUGCACCAACGGAGGUCAAACUACCAGCUGAGCUCAACAAAAGUAACUACCAUUUAUUGAGUGCUUACUAUGUGCCAGGCAUGGUACUAAAUGCUUACAUGCAUUACCUCGUUAUAUCCUCACAACCACCCCAGGAAGAAGGUACUAUUAUCAGACCCAACUGCCUUCAAGGUAGAAGCUUAGAGCAGCCUAGAAACCUGCCCGCACCUAGGGUGAUUUGAUCCCAAAGUCUGUCUUAACCACUGCUCUCGGCCUCAGUCAUACUGCCUCAGUUUCCUCAUCUAUAAAAUGGAGACAACAAUACCUAAUCAAAGGCUGUUUUCUGGAUUAAAAGGGAUAACGUAUGUAAACCCUUAGCACUAUGCCUGGCACAUAUUAAGCACUAUACUAUUGCAAUCCUUAUUAAUAAACACACUGAUAUCUCAUUGGCUCAAGAAUAAAAAGAGAAGGCGCCUCAGUAGGUAGGCAUUUGAUGGGAAAAGGAAGGGGAGGGUGGGGGAGGAGACAGGGUCUUUAAACAGCCAACAAAUUUGAAACCCACUGGACAAAAAACCCUAGACUUCACAAACUCUGCCCCUCUAUUCUCAUAAAUCAUCCGCAUGUCCUCAAAAUCCCAACACUUCAGCAUCCAAAGGAUACCUCCUAAACUGCACUCAAAGUGCGUUGGGAAACAUGGUCCCUAUACAAACAGGUGACAGCCUUAAUCAAGAGACAGCCCCAGAUGAGAACAGCCUCCAUCCACCUGAGAGGCCAGGUAAGGCCACUGCUGGUCAACCUGAAAGGGAAGGGCGCAUUCAGAUGGCAACAGCAGCCAGGACUCUUCUGAGAAUAGGGCCCACCUUCUGCAGGGAUGUGGAUAAGGAGAGUCCAGGCCCAAGAGAAGGUGGGCCAGGCAGAGCCCUGAGAUAAGAAUCCUUCGUGACCACUUGGUUUAAACCCUAGCACCCCAUGCAGGUUGUGGCACAAGGCCCCCACCCAACAAGAGAAACUGAGUCAGGAAGUGAGAGCUGUUCAUCUCUUUAAAAACUGGAAGCUGGGCAGCUGCGUGCAGGGUGAUCAAGGGAAAAGGAAGUUUGUUUUGACCAAGUCAGGGAAGAAUACGGGGCUCUGCCUGAGUAUUAGCCAUCAUCUUCAGGCCAGAGUUUGUUCCACCUGCUCUUUGGAGUCCAGUGUUCCAAAGCACAAGUGAGAGUCCAUCCGCGGCUUACUGUCUUGCAAUGUGUCCAUAAAAGUCACCUGGACAUCCUCCCCACCCUGACCUCAGAAGAACAGAAACCUGUUCAAGUGAAAUUGUCCUCCCAACUCCACCCUUUUCUUAGCACAUAAUCACAGUGUGCAAGAAAGGUGGGCCCAGAUAUGUUACUCUGGAAGACAAAAGACAAUAGUGCCUAAGAUAUUACUAAAACAGGAAAAGGCUUCAGCAGUGACAUACCACAUUUAGUAGGGUGAUGAAAAUCUACCCCCUUGGACAUGCAACUAGGACUGGCUUUGUAACUAACAAGACCCCUGCUUCACAGUUUUCUGAGCAAGGACACUCUGUCUCAAGUCACUUAUACUCUCCCACUACCCGACUCUGUCAAUAGUGGAGAUGAACCUGAGCUUUGGGAAACAUGGUCCCCAUACAAACAGGUGACAAGGGCUGAGCCAAGGGCUCACUGACAGUGUGAAGAUCUCAACUCAAAGAUCCAUUCAAAUAAGGCUCCAGUCAACUCAGCAACUAGCUCAGACCAAAUCACAAGGUCUGUGUAGUCUCCCUUAAAACAUAUUUUUGGGAUUUUCUUGCAUAAUAUAGGUCAAGUUACAGUGGAAAAAAAUUCUAUAAAAAUGGAUUCAAAGUCCACCUGUGUAAAGUCAAAAGUUGUAUCCUCCCCAAUGAAAGAGAUUAGUUUCAAAGGAUGUGAAACUAGUUCUCAUACAUUAUAGGGCUGUACAAUACUAAGAGUAAUUACAUUUUAAAUGCAAAAUACUGUAGCUACUAAAAUGCCCAGAAUAUGAAACAAGUUGCCUAAGAGGGUUUCACUUUCAGGAGUAAAACAUAAAUGGAACCUUUCUGAAUACUAAAAGCAGUUAAGAGGGCAGCAUGCGCACACACAAAAGGCAAAGACUCGGUACCCUGUGAGCGGUCAUGAGCAGAGCUCCCAGGGGCUGGGGGGUGCCCAUCAGCCCUGGUUUCUAUGACCCCCUUGUUCCACCAGGCAGGAGCCAACAGCAAUUUAAGCUCCAACCUGGCUCAGGCCAGGCCUCCUGAGCUAGAGGGAAGGAAAGCUGCAACACCUCGGUGUACUCACACGACGUUCACAAAAGCAAGCAGGGCUGGGGGACCCUCCAGGUGUCCUGUGGGUAAAGUGCAGGAUGGAGUGAGUCCUGACUCCACCACACUAUCCUGGGGAAGCUCCCUGCCUGGUAAGGUGCUCAUGACUCUCACCCGAGGUAAGAAGGCUGUUGUGAGAAUGUAGGGAUACAAGUUGGAAAGCAAAGCAAAAGUCUCUGAAUCAGGACUAUGCAGUAUUCAUGAAUACAUAAACAAAUGAGAAGCAUAAAACCAUGCAUGGAAGUGAUAAACAGGGAAUUCACGACAAGGGAGGGCACACAGUUGCAGUCACAUUUUAUUUCUGACCAAUAAAAAAAAAAUGGGUCUAAAGCAAGUGAUGCCAUUCAUGAAGAUUUGAAUGUACACACGUAAAAAUGGUUUCUUGAAUCUUGUCUGUGAAUAGGAAAGAGAAACAUUGUGCUAUAUGGACACAAGGUGGCAGUGCUCUCCUAGCUACCUGACAAAAAAUCCUCAUCUCCAGAAAGCAUGCAGGAGAAAUCAGAAAAUAAAACACAAGCUGACCCUCUGGCCUGCCUGCUAGCAGCUCUAGUGCGCACUCAGCUUCGGCUUCCUAGACCCCCCUUCCCCACCCCACCCCCACCAAGUAACCACUUCCACAAAGGAACAUGAUGAGCCUUGCCCAGUAUGCUCGGCUCCCUGAUCCCAAAGGCAGCCCUAUUCAAGAGCAGGUCUCUGCAGCCAGGCCCCAGCUGAGACUCCCUCCUCUCAAGGAGCCCACCAUAUGCCCACAAUGGGACAAAAGAGACAAAUGAGGAGCCCUUUCGGUAUCUAGUUUGGUGAUCCAGGUUCAUUCUUCAAUCUGAAAACUACAGUUUCGUUAUUGAUCACCUUUACUGUUCGGGUGUGCUGCUGAGAUACCUACUCACCUUAAGGAUAAGCAUGUAAGGGCCUGAAAACACUUCCUGUUUGGGGGGUGCCCAGGACCUCACUUAAUGAGCCUCUACCGGCAUGAACUUGCUCAGCCAGAAUCACAGAAGAGUGGAAUUGGGAGUAGCUCCGAAAAAGAGGCCCUGGAGAGUGAUGCAUCCUGCCAGUGACACAGCCAAUACUGAAAUGAAAGCCCUUGCGAUAAUAUGUUUUGUUUUUAAGGGGCCUUGGACCUGAAUAAGAGAAGCCACGAGGCUGAAAUGGAAAUAAAAGUUCAGCGGAAAGAAGCCGCUUCAGCCCCACACACAUAUGGGAAGUCACUCAAGGAUGUGUGAGCUGAAACAUCCCGAGGGCUCCAUCCUCUGCUGGACACUCUAGAGACCUGGGCUGACUGUGCACUUUCAGGGAGGCAGUGAGGCUAAUUUACAAACAAAAACACCACAAACCAGCACUAGACCAAGGUGCAGAAGCAAAUCAUUACACCCUCGUUGGCAAUGAAAACAUCCACGUCACACCAGCUGGGCUUGCCUUGGAGACCUGCCCCUGCUCAGUUCUGUUCCUGUUCUCCUGGCCCUGGGUGGCCCCUACUCGUCCUCUGUGGUGGAUGUCAGCAUCCCUUUGUCGAUCAGAUGAGACCGCAGCGUGUUGAAGAUGUGGAGCUGCUGAUCUGGCCGUAAAGUCAGGAACUGCUGAAUCAGUUUGCUUGGGUUAGGGCCUCUGG